rnacentral:snRNA from 1 species
AUACUUAUCUGGCAGGGGAGAUCCCAUGAUCACGAAGGUGGUUUUCCCAGGGCAAGGUUUACCCAUUGCACUCCGGAUGUGCUGACGCCUGAGAUUUCCCCAGAUGUGGGAAACUCGACUGCAUAAUUUGUGGUAGUGGGGGACUGCGUUCAGGCCCUCCCCUA